CCAAACAGCUCUCAGGUUUCUGCUGAUACUGCAGCGUCAAGAAAUGGCUCGAGUUUGCUCCUCGCUCUUAUGCAUUCAGCUGCCCUCUCGCUCCUGCAACACGCGUCCAGCUCCUGCCUCCUCCUGCCUCCGCCGCUGCUGCUGCCGGGACGAGCCAAGACCGACUCCGGGGAUGCGGCUGCAGGGCUGCGGCGCUCUGGCAUCUCCGCCGCCGCUGCCCAGCGCCCGGCUCCUUUUCCAGCUGUCCUAAGGCAAGAGAGCUGGAGAGGCAGCAGCUAGGACUCCUUGAUUUUAUUGACUAACUCAAGCCUUUGGAAAAGGUACUUUGCACUCUUUUCCACGCACACCCCCACCCCCCACUGCGGUUCUCGGCAGAAACUAAUUAAAUCCACUAGCCCCUGUGCAGCCAAAGACAGUGUAUGAAUAUUUCAGUGUCUCGCAGGCAGCCCUGUAAAGCGAUCGCUGCGUUAUAAAGAGGGGCGCAAGAGGAGGAGGAGGAGGAAAGGUUAAGUUUGCCGCUGCGGUUUUUGUUUUGGUUUGGUUUUUUUUGGAUGCUGCUACAAGGCGACUUGACGCAUUCCGGCGCUGGCUCCUACUCCUAAGCGGCACGUCUCACCCGGAGCAGCUUCGUGGCAGCAGCUGCGGCGAUGGUCAAGCCGGCAAGAAAAGUGGACGGAUCGAGUUAAAGGCUAAAGGAGACGGCUGGGGAGGGGAACCCCAGCCUGGGGGUGCACUCCAUAGACCUUCAGCCUCCCGGUGUAGGGGACAGGACCCCUCACCUUACCUGCCCUCUGCCCCCCCUAAAGGUACUUCUUCCCUCUUUCUUCACCCUCCCAUCAUCCCUGAAGCCUCUCCCUUCAUCCCGCCUCUCUUUUCCCCUUUUGGGUAUUUCCAUCCUUUAGGCUCCACUUCCACCCCUUCCUCAAGCUCCCCAGCUCAACCCCCUCAACCCCCCCACCUUGAACCGCCCUGGGUCUCUCUGUGCUUCUCCAUCCUCCUCCUCCUCCCUUUCCCUCACUUCCUCCCCUGCCCCUUGGU
rnacentral:lncRNA from 14 species